rnacentral:sRNA from 1 species
CCUGUCAGUGCUUUGCAGUCCGCUCUCUGGGCUGGGUAGAAGUACCUGAAGAGGACCUGGCACCGGGGAAGAGCAGUAUUGCAGUCAAUAACUGUAUCCAGCAGCUGGCCCAGACCCGCAGCCGGAGCCAGCCUCCAGAUGGUGCCUGGGGUGAGGGCCAGAACAUGCUGAUGAUCCUGAAGAAGGAUGCCAUGAGCCUAGUGAAUCCCGUGGACCACAGUCUGAUCCACUGCCAGCCUCUGGUGCACAUCCGUGUGUGGGGCGUGGGGAGCUCCAAGGGCCGAUCCUCUGAUGUGGACCCAGGACUGCUUCCCCUGCCUGGUCCAGCCCUGGUUGGGGAGGGUGGGCCCAGCUCAGCAGGGACAGUUUGGGGAGAGUCCGAGAGGCUGGGCUGAUUCCCUUCUGUGCUCCCACAUGCUUCCGGAACAGUGACAGGUGAGUGAAAACCAGGUAUCCUGAGCCCCAUCCCUGAUGUCCCUACUCCAUCCCUGCUAUAUCCCUAGCCUGACUUUCCAGCCUCCUGCAGGCUCCUGCCUCUAACCCGCCUCUACCCCAGCCCCAUCUCUGCCCCUGCUAGGGACUUCGCUUUUGUGGCAAGUGACAAAGAUAGCUGUAUGCUCAAGUGCCAUGUGUUUC